rnacentral:rRNA from 1 species
GACGAACGCUGGCGGCGUGCUUAACACAUGCAAGUCGAACGGAAAGGCCCCUUUGGGGGUACUCGAGUGGCGAACGGGUGAGUAACACGUGAGUAACCUGCCCUUGACUUCGGGAUAACUUCAGGAAACUGGGGCUAAUACCGGAUAGGAAUCCUUGCUUCAUGGUGGGGGUUGGAAAGCUUCGGCGGUUUUGGAUGGACUCGCUGCUUAUCAGCUUGUUGGUGGGGUAGUGGCUUACCAAGGCUUUGACGGGUAGCCGGCCUGAGAGGGCGACCGGCCACAUUGGGACUGAGAUAAGGCCCAGACUCCUACGGGAGGCAGCAGUGGGGAAUAUUGCACAAGGGGCGGAAGCCUGAUGCAGCAACGCCGCGUGCGGGAUGACGGCCUUCGGGUUGUAAACCGCUUUCAGCAGGGGCGAAGCUUGUGGUGACGGUACCUGCAGAAGAAGCACCGGCUAACUACGUG